GCCCCGGUGGUGUAGUGGUCUAGCAUACAGGCCUGUCACGCCUGUGACCCUAAGGGCAGGAAACACGGGUUCGAAUCCCGUCCGGGGCG
rnacentral:tRNA from 1 species